AAAAUACCCUUCCAUUUCGACACACACGAGGCUAAACAAUCACAAAAACAAACCGUAAAUAAGUAUUCACAUGAGGGCAAAUUAGAAACAUUGCUUCUUUUAAGAUACUGAUGAACUUCCAUUGAUGAACCAGAAGCUGAAAGCUUAAGCUCAGAAAGAAGAGAAGAAGAUUGCAGAGAAGAGGAAUUUUUCUAAGGGUGGUUUACCUUUUUCUGCAAUUCUGAUGAAAAAAAAUGAAAAAAAAAACUCAAACAGCCCUUGAAGUUAUAGACUAAAAUGGUCCUUAAUGUAUGUAGUUGAGCUAAAUUCAUCUCUCAACGAAGAGACAGAGAGAGAGAAAGAGAGAAUUUUGAGGCUGUAAUUUGAUACUUGCAAGAGAAAUUAAGAGACCCAUAUAUUGGCGGGGGACCCGGAACGCAACCCGAGGUUAGCAGCCAUGGCGAUUGUCUUUAUUUCUCUUGUUUUUAUCAACAGAUCUGAGCUUCAAUUUUACUCUUGUAGCUUUGAUUGUAUUGUUAUUCUAAAAGGGUGUGUUUGGUAUGAAGAAAAAUGUGAUCUUUUUGUGAUGAGUUUCAUCAGUUUAAACUAAGGGCCUGUUUGAACAUGCUUUAUGGAAUCAUGAGGUUAAUAGAGAAAAAGGAUUUUUUUGUUAAGGGUGGUUGCUCCUCUCUAUUGUGCCCAUGAUUUUCUUUCAUAGCAAUUAAAGCAACAACCCUUGUUAAUGAAUACUCAAACACACAAUAGUUCAGUGUGUGGAGAAAAUUAAAAGAAAGAUGUCAAAUAAGUCUUCGUUUUGUUUUUGGUGACAGACUGAAUUGUACAAAAUGGUCUGUGAUCAUGACAAUGUUUAAUUGUCUGUGCUAGCAAAAUUGGGCAUUGAAGAUAGUCCGACCCCGUAUCUUGGCUUGGCAAAUCCCAGGAUGGCCUGUAACUGAAGCUCAGUCUUUUGCAUGCAACUGGUGUUUUGCAGCCAUGGCGGGGUUACCUUCUCUUUCUCUGAGCAAAAAUAUAUUAUCUGAGCUGCAAAUUUCUGAAAAUUGAACUGGGAAGCUCAGCAGCUGACCAUCUCAGACAAGUAAGGCUUUUGGUAAUUUAUUGUUAGGCUAUUCUUUGAUUUGAUUAUAAUUAUUGUAAUUAUUAAUUUUUUCUUGGGCCCAGCUAAGUUGCUCGGACUCCUAUGCGGGUGUUUAAGACGGGUGUGGAUGUCCAAUACGGGUGCGGAUGUCCAAUAUGGAUCCAGAUCUAAUUUUUAAGAUUUGGGGAUAUAGAUCCAUGGAUGGACACGGGUGCGGGGAUUCGCGUAAAAGUAAUUAAAAUAUCUAAAAGUAGAGUUAUAAAACCUAAAUUAUGAGAUAUUAUGUGGAAAGCUUGAGGAGAAUCCUGGAAGCAGAUGAAUGGAGAUGGAGUGACACAGAAAUGUCUAUGAAAGGUAUUCAAUUUUCUUCAAUUUCACCUUAACUUUUGUAUUGAGUACAGAAAAUUACUAAAACUGUCCCGACUUUCCCCAUCGAUUUUGGUCAAAGUACCCAUAAUCGGUUGACCAAAUCGGACAUGGAUCCCAAACGCACUCCCAUUUCGUAUCGACACGGGUGCGGCACCAAAAGUGAAGAGUUCGAGCAACUUAGGGGCGGAGAAUCUAUUGAGAACAACCUUUUAUCACACAGAAAUAGUAAUAAUAGAAUAGGGAUAAGUUCUGCAUAUACGGACGAUAUGGUUGUUGUUACAGAUAUUGGAUGUGCUUGUAGGCUGCUAAAGUGACUAGGGUUUUGCUUGAAUGUUCAUGUGCAUGUGAAAAGUAAUAGGUAGGCAUCUUAUAUUUUUUUCCCUAUAUAUGCUCUUGAUUGACUCCAUUAAUUUAUGUUAUAUCUUACAUUUAUAAACUAGUUUUAGAUGAUCAUUUAUUGGGCAGGACAUAUAGCUUCUUUUAUUUUCAAAUCAAAUUCUAAUUCUUUCCUUUGUAAUCUGUGCGUCUGCUUGAUGCUUUGUUAAUGGCAUUCUUCUUACUUCAUCAAAAAAAUAAAAUAAAAUUCUGAUAAAUAUUAAUUGCUCAUUGUCUAAAACAAGAAGCAUUAGUAAGUGAAACUAAAGAAGUGAAUGUAAUUUACUCUAAAUAUCGAAAUGCAACAAAUAAUAACAUAAUAUGUCAUCAUCUAAAGAAAAUUCAAGUGACUCAUGGGACAUAAUAUUUCUGGAUGGAAAUAUCCAUGAAAAAAUAUUGUUUUCGUAUUGUUUCAUGCGAUAGUUUAAUAAAAAAAGUCGGCCAGAAGGAGAAAUGAGGUCAAUUUCUUCUAAGGGUGGUUGCCCCUGUCUGUUGUGCCAAUGAUUUUCUGUAGCAAUCACACCAACAGCCCAUGUUGAUGCAAUACUCAGAAGCAGAAGAUGAUCCAUACAUCUCAGAGUGUGUAUUCUUAAGGAAUUUGCACUGAUGACCUUGUUUGAGGUAGUGAUAUAAUAAUAGCACUUUCUGGGUUAACAAAAUGGGGCAUUGGGUACAAUCGGAGCUGUAUCUUGACUGGAAAAUCCCAAGGAUGGCCUGCAACUGAGGUUCUCUCUUUUGCGCUGCUGGUGAUUUUGCAGCCAUGGUGAUGGUGUGGUUGCAUUCUCUUUAAGGGGUUGUAUGGUCGUUGGUUAGGAAAUGAGUUGUUCAUGUUAGGAGGUUUUUUUCGAAGGUGGUUGCCCCUCUCUGCAAUUCUAGUGAUUUCUCAUAUGAAAAGAAAAUGAAAUAAAAAUCAAACUUCUUAAUUCCUGGGGAAAAAUUAUCCGGACCCUGUUGAGAUUUUUUAAUCAAAUAGUCUAAUAUGUUGUGGAGUUGAACUAAAUUUUUCUCUCAAAGAAGAGAGAGAGAGAGAAAGAGAAUUAUGAGGCUUCAGUAAUACUUGACACAAGAGAAACUAAGAGACCCGUAUCUUGGCGGGGCAACCCGGAACACAACCCGAGGUCUGCAGCCAUGGCGAUGUCUUCAUUCUCUUGUUUUAUCAACUGAUGUCAACUUCAGUGCUCUUGUUUGGAUGGUUGUUACUUAAGUAUUGUAUUUUUAUUAAGGGUGUCUUUGGUAUGAAGGAAAAUGUUUGUUUCAUGAAGAAUUUCAUCAGUGUUUAAUUACUAAUGUAUCCCUCUGAGAAGAAGAAAGUUGUGAAAUUUUCUGGUGAAAACUAUAAUUUUUCCUAAAGAAGUGUUGGCCCAAAAAGAAAAAAUAAGGUUAUAGAGAGAUGGGAUUUUUUCGUUAAGGGUGGUUGUCCCCUCUCUGUUGUAGCAAUGAUUUUAUGUUUAGCAACUAAACCAACAACCCUUGUUCCUCAGCCAAACAUUAAUCAACAACUAUGAUUAUUGAAACAUAUGCACGGGCCGUGCAGUUUCUUGAAUCUACAACUUAAGCCGUAGAUGUCAGUUUGUGUGUGUGUAUUUUCUUCCUCCUUUUUGAGUAAUUGUGCAACAGAGGCUGUGAUGAUGACAAUGUUUUACUCUCUGUUCUACCAAAAUUGGGCAUUGAGGACAGUUUGACCCAUAUCUUGGCUUGGCAAAUUCCAGGUUGGCCUUCAACUGAGGCUCUCUCUCUUGCAUGCAACUGGUGAUUUUGCAGCCGUCGUGUGGUUGCUUCUCUUUUUCCAAAUGCAUUGUCUGAGCCUCAAGUUUCUCAGAAUCGAGCUGGAGACCUCUUGUGCUUUGAAAUACAUUAAAGUUUGCUCCAACGACAAAUCAAAAGAAUGAUGUAUCACAGAAAGAUGGGUACUUCAUCUUCUUGAUAUAUAAGCCCAUGAUUUUAUAGACAAUAACCAAAGAGAGCAGGUUUGCAGAGAGGAGGAGUUUCUGAAGGGUGGUUGCCCCACUCUGUAACUUCUUUGAUUUCUCAUAUGAAAAAGAAAAACCAAGCAACCUUUUAUAUCUUAGGGAAUUAUUGUUGACACCCAAGUUUCGACUCAAAUGGUCCUUUGUCUUAUGGAGUUUAACUGAUUUUUUCUCAUGAAGUUGUGGGGGGGGGGAUUCCGAGGCUGUGAUGAUACUUUCUUCUUUGGGAUUGGGGCAAGACAAAUUAAGAGAUCCGUAUCUUGGUGUGGCAACCCGGAUGGCGACCCACUUUCUGUCAUGCAACUGUUGAUUGCAGCCAUGGCGAUGUCUUCAUUUUCUUGUCUCAACAACCGAUCUGAGCCUCAAUUUUACUCUUAUUCGCUUGUUUGGAUGGUUGUUGCCUAUUGUAUUGUAUUGUUAUGCUAAAAUGGUGUCUUUUGUAUGAAGGAAAAUGCUAAGGUGGCCCUCUGAGAAGAAGAAAGUUGGGAAAUUUUCCAGGGAGUUCAAAAAGAGAAAUGGAGGUUAAUUGAGAGAAGGGAUUUUUUGUUAAGGGUGGUUGCCCCUCUCUGUUGUGCCAAUGAUUUUCCUUUUAGCAACUAAACCAACAGCCCUUGUUCAUGCAAUACAGAGACAAACAUCAGUCAGCAGCUAUGACAAUUGAAACAUAUGCAUGGAUUUUCUUCAAUCUACAGCUUCAGCUGUAGAUCUCAGUGUGGGUGUGUUUCUGAUUUCUACUUUUGGAGAAUCCGUGCAAAAGAGGCUGUGAUAAUGACAAUGUUUUUCUGAACAAAAUCGGGCACUGAGGACAGUUCGACCUGUAUCUUGGCUUGGCAAAUUCCAGGAUGGCCUGCAACUGAGGUUCUCUCUUUUGCAUGCAACUGGUGUUUUAGCCGCCAUGGCGAUGUAGCCUUCUCUUUGUUCGACCAACAGUAUCUAAGCCUCAAAUUUCUGAACUGGGGACCUCUUGUGCUUUGAGUUUGAAAUACAAUAAGGUUUUGCUCAGACAUCUUUAUAACAUCUGUUCUAUGUGAUAACAUUUCAGUUUUCACUAUAAGAGCCAUAUUUUUUCUGGAACUGAUUUUCAAAUUAUUGCAUAUUAUACGGUUCUAUAAUGUCAAGGGUCUAUCAGAAACAACUUGUCUACCUACACAAGGUAGGGGUAAGGUCUGCGUACACUCCACCCUCCCUGUCCCAGACCACACUUGUCGGAUUACACAAUGGGUAUGUCGUUGUUUGUUUGUUGUAGUUUCAUUUUUUUUCCUGUUCAUUUUGUCUAUAGGAAGUGAAAGACAUGAUGAACUAGAUGUUAGACUAGAAUUCAGUGCCUGAGCUGCUUUAAGUUCACAUUAGCUUCUUGUUCAACCUGAUCUCCAUUGCUAUAAGAAAAAUAUAGAUUGCUGUUACUGGGUUUUUUUUAAUAAGAAAUUUGUUUGUUUCCAUUGGCAUUAGCAUAAAGGAAGAGAAAGGUAUGCUUGUGAAAUGGAGGUUCCAAUUGGAUGUAAAGUGGAGGUGAAAUUGAGACCAAAUUAGUAUGCAUGUUCAUGUGGAUGUCAUUGUUGCCGUCUUCGGCUGCUUUUUAGUUGCUAAUCCCACUUCACCUGUCAGCAUGGAGGCUCUGAUGAGAAAUAUUUAAGUUACCUAUGGAUCUAAUAAAACUGUAUCUUGGCUUGGCAAUCCAAAUGUUACUGAAAUUGCAGCCAUGGCAGUGAAUUCCUUAUUUCUCUGAGCAUAUGGAUUGAAAAAGAAAACACAUACACGUGUAUCUUGGCUGGGCAACCCCGUGACAAGUGAAUUUGUGUCAUGCAACCGGUGUUUGCAGCCAUGACAAUUCUUCAUUUUUCUCGUCUUAUUUUCCUCAACAGAUCUGAGCCUCAAAUUCUCUUAGGUUGUCUAUGGUUGGGACUCUAAUGGAUCGGGAAUUUAAACUGAAUGUCCACCGAACACACAGUACAACCUUCUGGUCUGGACUCUGGAGUCUGACGCGCUACCAAUAUGCCAUGGAUCCUUACAGUGUCUUUGUAUGAUUAAAAACACUUUUUUUUCUGGAUGAAAUCAGUAUUUAGUUAGCAAUGAGGAUAACGAGUGAAGGGAUCUUCACAAAUCACCUGAAAUCUGAAUACAGGCUGUGAUGAUGAUUGCUUCUUUCUGGGAUAGCUACUUUACAGUGUGGAGAAAAUCUUACCCGUAUCUUGGCAGGGAGACCUGGUAUAGCAUCAUCUGUUAACGUGUCUGCCUUCAUGGCGUGGUCGCUUUCUCUUUCAUGUUCAUAGAAAAGCAAAAUCUGAGCCCUAACAGUUUAACGACAACCAUCUGCGAACCCAAACAGAAUGCACCAGCUGCAACUGAACCCGGGUCUGUACUUCAGCAGGGUACUAUUUUACCAUUACACCACUAGGACCGAGAAUUGAUAAUUUUUCCUCUGUUUUAUGUUAACAAGGCAACAGCAGAACCAUAUAACAAAUUAAAGGAAUAUUUAAUGAUGGGGCUGUGAUGAUUGCUUGUUAGUAGUAGUGAUAUUGCUAAUACUGGGCUGAUAUAUGGGGCAUGGUCACAAUCCAACCGGUAUCUUGGCGGGGUUACCAGGAGAGGUAGCAGCCAUGUCAGUUUCUGGUGGACUCAAUGGUGAUUAUUAAAUUGACAUCUGAGCCUCGUUAUGUACAUGAUGCACAUGUAUAUUGUCUGUAUCUCUCUCACACACACACAAAAAAAUUGUAUGGGUAAACCCGAAACCUAAACCCUAAACUUUGUGAAUGAGGCUAUGAUAUUAUUCUCCAGAAAGGAAGAUUGCAAUUCAGAUGUUUGAGCUGAUUCAUAUCUUGGCUAGGCAAAGGCAAGGAAUUUGUGAGGUUGUAUGUGCUCUCACAAAAGGCCUCUGCUUUCUGCAGCCAUGGUGGAAUAGACUCUUUCUGAUAGAUCAGAUGAGUGAAACUAUUAGGUAUUGAUAUUAAACAAGUUUGAAAGAUAUGGAGGUGAAUAUUGAUACUGAAGCUAGUUGGUGAAAUUAUCUACACAAGUCCAAGCUUUCUUGCCUUAUUUAAAUCUUGAAAUCCCAAGUUUCAGAGGCAGUGAAGUUUAAGCAUAAUGAGAAGUGAAAAUUAUUAGAGUUGAUUCAAGGCCUGGGUUGGUGAGUCUAAUCGGAAGGUCUUCGUUGUAAGGCAGCCGGUAAUUGCAACCACAGCAUGUUAACUCUACUAUUUCCUUUGAUUAAUAGUCGAAAAUCUGGGCCUCAUCCCCAACUUGGUUUAUUUGCAUUUUUUUUUACUAGUUUUUCUUUAAAUAACUUUAAACUACUUAUAGUGUGUGGUUCUUUGGUCUAUUAUUUUGAAUUUCAGGUUCUCCUUUAUUUUGAGUAGCCACUAGUUUGUUAAGGGUUGGAGAGAGUUAUGGCGUUUCCAAUUACCCAGGAUCAUCUGUCGUUGAUUCGAGCCAAAUUCUAACUUUUUUCUGUGUUCUUUUAUCUAAUUUCAUUUUCUUUUGGUAAUUUUUAUCCCAAUAAAGCAGUACUUGGAACCUUGCUUUGACUUUCAAGUCUGUUCAACUCGUGGAACUUCAGAUUGUGUCGAUACAAGUUUGAUGUUGGUGCUCUUUCAUUCUCUUACACUCAUCGAUGUGUAUAUGCAGCAGUUCAAGAGAGGCCUGUUUUCUCCAACACCUGCAGGUAAAUGAUUAAAUCUGAUCAGUAUAAAAUAUCCAGCAGCUGAUUGACCUGUUCAAAUUUGAAUUUUGGCAUCACAGAAAUUUCAAGCAGUUGUGUGAUGUUUAAAAACUAAGAUUUUGUUGGUUAUCUCUCAUGUUAGUUGAAACUGAGAUUUAAAGUCAGCAUAGAGUUGAGCUUUCUAAAAUUCUUGGAAUAGUUUGUGAUACAGUAUGAGCAUAGGCUGGAUGUUCUUUAGAAUUUUUCUUAAAAGAUCAAGAAUAGUGUGUCGAUUCUGAAUCAAGACAAAAGGUCAAAUGGCUUGUUCGACGCGAUCACACAAAAUGAGACUUUUCAUCGUUACCUAACGAUGAAGCGAUAUGAUACAAUGAAAUUUAAAUAACAAUCGAAACAAACAUUGCAGCGAAACUAAUAUCACAAUACAAUAAAUAACAACCAUACAAACAAGCUGUUAUGAUAAAAAAAGUUUGCAAUAUAUGAGAACUUCAUGACCAUCUUUGCGUACUAAAACAAUAAUGUCCUAAUAUGUUCCCUUGAUAAUUCAAAUCCACAAUAACCUUCCGUGGUAUAGUAUAUUUCUUAAGAUUUUCAUAAAUGAUAAAGAACUACUUUUUCAUUCCCUAUUAUGACCUUGGUCGGUCAUAGCGAACUUGGGAUUUGGGAUAUAAUAUUGUAGUGUUUAGCUGAAAUCUUCAACCAUUCUUUAGCCAAGAAAGGAAGAAUGAGACGUCAGAAGUAAAAAAUGGGAUUUUCUGUAAAGGGUGGUUGCCCUCUCUCUUUGCUAUGUCAAUGAUUUCUUUCUUCUCAAUUUAUUUAAGAAACCAACAGCCCUUUGAUUUUAAACAAUCAAGAAUUAUCUACACAUUUGGCCAUAGAAUUCCAAUAUUUUUAUGCAUAUGACCCAACAAAGAUAGCUGCUUUUACAAGACUUCGGAACCUAAAAAUGGGCUGUGAUGAAGAUUUGCUUCUUUCUGGCUAACAAUCUACUUCAUCGUGUUGAGAAGAUGUCACUGGUUCUUGGCGGGGCGACCUGGUAAGGCAUCAAUACGCUAACCAGUGUAUCUGCAGCCAUGGCCAUGUCGAUUUCUCUUUGCAUGUUCGUAGAACAGCAACAUCUGAGUCCUAAUGUGUACAUCAACCAUUUGAUAGUUGUUCUUUGGGAACUGAGAUACCCAAUUGCGUUUUUUCAGUUUUUCUCGAACACCCCAUUUCAGAGGCAGUGCUUUAUCAAUUUUUUAGCUCAAAAAUGAGGUAAUCGGAGUAAACAAGGAUUUUUUAGGGUGGUUGGCCAUCUCCGGUAUGCCAGUGAUUUUACUUAGCUCUAACCAACAGCCCUUUUUAGCAUAUGUAUGAGGUCUAGACACCUCUGUUGUGUCAGUUGAACGCUCCAACUUACAAGAUGAUCAUCUAGACACCUCUAGAGUUUUUGUGUUACGUGCACACACGAGACACGAUGGGGAUGAGUGGGAGUGUUUAGUUGCCAUUUGAGAUCAAGUUGAGGUGUCUAGAUGUGCACUCUCAAAGUUGGAGUGCUUACUUGCCAGUCAAGACCAAGUUUGGGUGUGUUUAUGAAUUAUGCCAUGUAUGUGUUUAAUUUAUGUCUGUUUCUGUCUAUCUGUGACUACUUUGCUUCUGUAUGACUGCAUUUUCAGAUAAAGCAGCAGCACAAGCAUAGAGAAGGGACAGUUAAGUAGACUUGCAGGGUUUCUGGUUAAAUUAUCUCUUAUAAAUAAGAGUGUUCUAUAGAAAAGUGGAAGUUCAGCCUCAAUAUUAAGAAUGAGUCCGACAGAGAGAAAAGGGAAUUCUUGGAGGGUGGUUGUCCGCUCUGUUUGGCCUAUGAUUUCCCCAUAAAAAAAAAUCAACAACCCUCUUUCGGAAGUACUAGUGCUGGUUUCUUGUUUUCUCUAAGUUCAGACCAAACAUCCCUCUAAUUUUAGCUUAUGUUAAUGGACUAUAUGGUCUUCCUUUUUCUGCUUCUGUAUAUACUAUAGCUGAUAUUUGCAAAUAUCCACUUUUAUGUCCCUGUAAAUACAAAGCUAGCUGUUUUUUGUAACAGUACUAAACCUUAAUGAGAUGUUCUAUUGAUGUUGGUUAAUCCGAAAUAGGAGCAAUCCGUGCAAAAACUGGAAAAAAAUGGGCUGUGAUGAUGGGUAACUUCUUUCUGAACUAUAAUCUACUUUAUUGCGUUGAGAAAAUCCAAUCCGUAUCUUUGGCGUGGCGAUAUGGUAUGGCAUCCAUAUGCAAAGCUGUGUCUUGCAGCCAUGGCAUGUGUUGCUUUCUCUUUGCAUAUUCAUAUACAGCAAAAUCUGAGCCCUAAAUGUUUUGACUAAAAAAUGAGGCAAUCGGAAAAAAAGAGUUUCAGGGUGGUUGACCAUCUCCAGUAUGCCAAUGAUUUUAUCCUUAGCUCCAGUCAACAACCCUUUUGUAUCUGUAUCUGUGACUACUUUGCUCUUGCGUGCCUUCUUUUUAAGGCAAAGCAGCAGCAAAAUCAUAGAAACAUGGAGUUAACCCAGUAUGAAGAACGGAAAAGGGCCAAAUACACCCCUCCACUAUGAAGAAUGAGGCCGACAGAAAGAGAAGGGAAUCCUGGAGGGUGGUUGCCCCCUCUGAUUGGCCUAUGAUUUCUCCUUCAACCAAAUCAACAACCCUCUGAUAUACUAGUACUGUUUUCUUGUUUCUCCGCGGUCAGCAAACAUACUCUGAUCUUAUCUUAUGUUUGUUAAAACUACUGGAAUUGUCCAAACGCCUACUUGUGGAAAAGUUCCCAUCUUUCAGAAGUGGCUAUGAUGAUAAUGCUUAUGGCAGAAUUCUCACAGUUUAGCCCAGAAAGGAAGAAUGAGACAUCAGAGUGAUGGUAUUUUUUGUAAAGGGUGGUUGCCCCCUCUCUGCCAUGUCCAUGAUUUCUUCUCCAUUCAUAAAAAACCAACAGCCCUUUCAGAAGAAAAAAAGAACAAGAAUGUUGACUUUUUUUUAAUUUUUUAUAUAUAUAUAUAUAUGCAUGCAAUGAAAAAACAAGGUAGCUGCUUUUAAUUGGUGAUUUACAAGAAUGUUGAUUGAUCUGAAAAAAUGGGCUGGGAUGAUGAUUUGAUUUUUUCUGGGCUAUAUCUACUUCACUGCGUUGAGAAGAUCCGAUCCGUAACUUGGCAGGGCGAUCCGGUAUGGCAUCAUCCGCAAACCGGUAUCUGCAGCCAUGGCGAUGUCGCUUUCUCUUUGGAUGUUUGUGGAACAGCAAAAUCUGAGCCCUAAAGUGUUAAGACUAAAACAUUCAUAUGUGUAUGUGUGAGAGUGUGUCUCUUUUUUCAGAUAAAGCAGCAGCAAAAGCAUUGAAAAGGGACAGUUAGUGGACUUACAGGGUCUCUGUUUAAAUUGUCUCUUAUAAAUCAGAGUAUUCUAGGGGAAUUAGUAGCUUAGUAGGAUGGUUGGCUUAUGAAUACCUGGACUUUCACCUUGUUGGUGAGGGUUCAAUUCUCCACCUUGUAAUCCCCUCCCCCUUUCCGCUUCGGCCCAGUUUUUUCAAAAAAAAUAAAAUAAAAUAAUCAGAGUGUUCUACAGAAAAACGGAGGUUCAGCCCACUGUUUAGAAUGAGUCCAACAGAGAAAAGGGAACUCUUAAGAGGGUGGUUGCCCCUCGGUUUGGCCUAUGAUUUCCCCGCAAAAAAAACCAACGGUCUUUUCAUAAGUACUAGUACUGUUUCUUGUUUUCUCUAAACUUAGACCAAACAUCCCUCUAAUUUUAGCUUGUGUUUGUGGGAUUUUACUGGAUAGGUUGUUGUUUGUCAAAAGUUGCUCGAAAUUUUCCAAAACACCUACUUGUAGGGAAGUUUCCGUCUUUCAAAUGAGGUUGUGAUGAUAAUGCUUAUAGCAGAAUCCCAACCAUAGUUCAUCCCAGAAAGGAAAAAUGAGACAUCAGAGAGAUAGGAUUUUCUGUAAAGGGUGGUUGGCCCUCUCUUCCAUGUCCAUGAUUUCUUCUCCAUUCAUAAAAGCCAACAGCUCUUUGAGAAUAACAGAACAAGAAAAUGAAAGAAGGGACUAUAAAUGCGUCUUCUUUUUUUUUUUUUGGGAACUGAAUUGAUAAUGUUUCUUCCUUUUUCUGCUUCUGCUACUGCUACUACUACAACUGAUUUUUGCAAAUAGCAUUUUUAUGUUCCUGUAUGCUAAGUUGCUCUGACUCAGGUGCGGCAGUCCCAUAUGGGUGCAGAUAUAGUGGUCGGAUCCUCUAUGAUCAAAUUUUAAGAUUCGGGGAUACGGAUCCAUGUAUGGAUACAAGUGUGGGGAUUUGGCUAAGAAUAAUUCAAAUUUCUAAAAAUAGAGUUAUUAAGCCUAAAUUAUGAGAAAUUAUGUGGAAAGCUUGAGAAUAAUAUUGAUCAAGAGUAGAAUCUUGGAAGGAGAUAAAAGGAAAGAGAGUGACAAUUGAAAUUUAUAUGUACAAAGUAUGUCAUUUCUUCAAUUUCACCUUACUUUUUUGUUUUGAUUAGUAGUGAUCAUUGAAUCUUUCCAGAAUUUCUCCCUCGAAUUUGGUCAAUGUACCGAAAACCGGUUAACCAGAUCGGGUACGGAUCCCAAAUAUACACCCACACCUACGUCAUGUCGACAUGGAUGCGACACCGAAAGUGAAGAGUCCGACCAACUUAGCUUGUAUGUAUAAACAACAACAGCAUACCCAGCGAAUUCCCACUUGAGGUCUUGAGGAUAGGAUGUAGUAGACCUUACCCUACCUUUAUUGUGGAGUAGAGAGGCUGUUCUGAUAGACCGAAGCAGGAUUGCAGGAAAAAUAUAACAACCAAAUAGCAAAAUGGGUGAUUUUGUGUCCCUGUGUAUGUACAAGGUAGAAUGACAACCCAUGUUGCUUGAUCUGAAAAUGGGCAGUGAUGAUGGUUUGCUUCUUUAUGGGCUAUACCCUACUUCACUGCAUUGAUGAAAUCUGACCAGUACCUUGGUGGGGCAAACCGGUAUGGCUACCAUUUGCAAACUGGUGUCUUGCAGCCAGGCAUGUGUUGCUUUCUCUUUGCAUGUUUGCAGAACAGCAAAAUCUGAGCCCUAAAAGUUCACGGGAAGUAUUGAAUGGAUGUCCAUUCUCUGGAACUGGAAAAUUCAAUUGGGUUCUUCAGUUUUUCGUUCAGAUGCAGUUCUCUAUCAAAUGUUCAGCUUAAAAUGAGUCAAUCGUAGAAAACAAGAGAUUUUUCAGGGUCGUUGACCAUCAACAGCAUGCCUAUGAUUUUGUUUUUGCUCUAAUGAACACCCCUUUUAGCAGAUCUAUGAGAUCUCUCUGUGUGUGUGUGUCUCUCUCUCUCUCUCUCUCUCUCUCUAUCUAUCUAUCUAUCUAUCUAUCUCUCUCUAUAUAUAUGUGUGUGUGUGUGUGUAUAUAUAUAUAUAGAGAGAGAGAGAGAGAGAGACUUUUGCUUCUGCUGCUACAAUAGCUGAUUUUUGCAAAUAGCCACUUUUAUGUCUCUCUAAAUACAAGAUAGCUGCUUUUAAAUGGUGCUAAGGGCACAAGUCAACUGAUGUUGAUUGAUAAAAAUGGGAUGUGAUGAUGAUUUGCGUCUUUCUGAGGUAUAAUCUACUUUUGAGAAAAUCCAACUUGCGUCUUGGCAGAGUGACUCAGUAUGGUAUCAGUUCAGCAGAAACCUCACCCAUUGUUUAGCCCAGAAAGGAUAAAUGAGACAUCAGAGAGAAAAGGGGAUUUCUGUAAAGGGUGGUUGCCCACUAUCUGUUAUGUCCAUGAUUUUUCCUCCAUUUAUAAAACAUCAACAACCCUUUGAGAAAAAGAAAAGACCAACAAUUGUGUAGGCAUUUGGCCAUAGAUUCCAUUUAUAUGCAUGUAUGUGUGUGUGUGUAUAUAAUAUAUAUGUAUAUGCUUUUUCCUUUUUCUGCUUGUGCUUCUGCAUGGUAGAAAUGAUACAACAAGAUAGCUAUUUUAUUAGGAGUCAGAACCUAAAUGAGGUGUUUAAUUGAUAUGGAGAGAUCUAAAAAUGGGCCGUGAUGAUGAUUUUCUUCUUCCUGGGCUAAUAAUCUACUUCACUGCAUUGAGAAGAUCUGACCCGUAUCUUGGUGCAACAUCAUCUGCAAAUCGGUGUCUUGCAGCCAUGGCGUGUGUCGAUUUCUCUUUGCAUGUUCAUAUACAACAAACUCUGAGCCCUAAAGUGUAUGGCAAGCAUGUGAUGGCCUUAAAUGUAUGGUCGUUCUUGGGAACUAAGAUACCCACUUCAGUUUUUCAGUCUUUGUUGAACCCCAUUUUCUGAUGCAGUUGUCCAUCAAAAUUUAUACUAAAAUGAGGUAAUUGGAGUAAAAUGGUAAUUUUUCUGGGUGGUUGACCAUCUCUGGUAUGCCAAUGAUUUUAUCUUAGCUCUAACCAACCGCCCUUUUAUCAUAUCUAUAAUAUAUUAAAAGCAUGGAGGUCAUUAGCGAAGUUUUUUGCUUUUUUUACCCUUUAAAACUAGAUUUCACACUAGAUAAAGUUGUCAAAUCAACCAAAUAUGUGUUUGUGUUCAAGGAAUGAGGCUUUUCUAUGGAACUCGAGAAAGGUUGAGAUUUUCCAAGGGUGGUUAGUCCCUUCCUCUGAAGUUCAAUUUAGCCUAUGAAUUUUUCAGUACUUCUGUUACAAUGAGAUAGAUAAACAACCCUUUUAUCAUCUAUGCCAAUAAUGUCUUGCUGAUGAUGAUAAUCAGCCAUCGCUAUGGUAGAAAACAUCUAAUUAGAUUUUCAGAAAACAGAAGAAAAAAAAAAGAAUUACUUUUUCCUUCACUGAUGUUCUCUUGGUCUGGCAUGUCACGAGCAACAGAACUUGUGAAUUGGGUGUUGUGCUAUAUAUAUUUGUAUAACAUAAGUGUGUUUUUGCAAAACCCUCAUCAUAGUUUAGCCCAUGAAUGAAGAAUGAGACAUCAAAGAGAGCUGGGAUUUUCUGUAAAGGGUGAUCUCUUUAUGUCCAUGAUUUCUUUCUCCAUUCAGAAAAAAAAAGAGUCCUCUGAGAAAAAGAAAAGAUCAAGAAACUGAAAACAACCAUGCUGGCGUUUGGCCAUAGAUUCCAAAUAUAUAUAUGUUUGUUUCUGCUUGUGCUUCUGCAAGGUAAAAAUGACACAACAAGGUAGCUGCUUUUUUUAAGAGUUCGGAACGUAAAUGAGGUAUUUUAUUGAUGUUGAUUGAUCUGACAAAAUGGGCUGUGAUGAUGAUGUGCUUCUAUCUGGACUAUAAUCUGCUCACUGCGUUGAGAAAAUCCAACUAGUAUCUUGGCAGGGCGACCCAGUAAGGCAUCCAUUUGCAAACCGGUGUAUCUGCAGCCAUGGCAAUGUCUCUUUCUCUUUGCAUGUUUUUAUACAGCAAAAUCUGAGCCCUUUAGUCUAUGGCAAGCGUGUGAUUAUCUUAAAUGGAUGAUCAUUUCAGGAACUGAGAUACGCACUUGGAUUUUUCAGCUUUUGUUGAACCCCAUUUUUUAGAUGCCGUUCUCCAUCAAAAUUUUAUCUCAAAAGGAGGUUAUCGGAGUUAAAAAGGAUUUUUCAGGGUGGUUGACCAUCUCCGAUAUACCAGUGAUUUUAUCUUAGCUCUAAUCAACAGCCCUUAUAUCAUAUAUAUAAAUAAUAAUAAUAAUUGGAUGUCUCUUUCUGUCUCUCAGUCUGUUACUGCUUUUACUGGCAAAGCAGCUGCAAAAGCAUAGAAAAAAUGGAGGUUCAACCCAGUGUGAAGAAUGAGGCCAACAGAGAGAAAAGGGAAUUCUUUGAGGGUACCUCUGCUCGGCCUAUGAUUUCCCCAUAAACAAAAUUAACAACCCUCUUCUGAAGUACUAGGUACUGUUUAUUGUUUUCUCUAAAUUCUUUGAGGGUGGUUGCCCUCUCUAAUUGACCUAUGAUUUCUCUGACCAACCAAUGGUAUAUGUUUCUAUUGAUGAUUAGUUGAUAGCAGCAGUAGUAAUACUCCCUCUCUUCCAAUUCACUUGUCUUGAACCUGUUCAUUAUUGAUAUGGAAAAGAGUCCAUCUUUCGAAAGAGAGUGAUAAUAUUGUCAAUUCUGGGCAAGGAGAAAAUUCGACUCGUAUCUUUGUGGGUCAAACCCAGAUUAUGUAACUGGUUGAUUUACAGCCACGGUGUUGUCAUCUUUUCUUUGCCCCAUUUUACACAGAUCUGAGCCUCAACAUCAGAUGAGUUCCGGAAUCCAAAUCCCGAAGUUCAUUUGAUGGAAACCUUAUUCAUUUUAGCUCUAAAGGACAAGCCAACCGGAGGAAAAUGGGCCUUUUUGCAGGGUGGUCGACCAUCUCUGGUAUGUCAAUGAUUUAUUUGCUCUAAUAAACAAUCCUUUCAGCUUUUGUAUGUGGAUGAAGUGCACAAAUAGCCGCUUUUAGACCAUUUCCAAGGUCAUUGGGUGUUGUAAUUUCCUGUAAUUUAGGACCCUGUCUAAAGAAUAGCUGAAGUUUACAAAGUCACAGGAACUUACAGUUUACAGAGUAAGGGAAGCUUAGCCCAGUAUGAAGAAUGAGGCCAACAGGGAAUCAAAAGGGGAAUUUUUUUUGGAGGGUGGUUGUCCACUCUGGUUGACCUAUGAUUUCUCUUUCAACCAAAACAACAACCCUCCGUUGGUAUAUUUGUGAAACUUUCCCAAAACUAAAUAAAUAAAUAAAUCCGUUGCCGUUGAUGUACUGUUUCUAGCAGAAGUAGUAAUGUCAUACUCUCUCCAUUUCAAUCUACUGGUCUGGAGAACUGUCCACAAAUUGGAUAGAAAAGGUUCCAUCUUUCUCAAAGAGGCAGUGAUGAUAUUUCUGAUUCUGCGCUGAAAAUCAGGGCAUGGAGAAAACUCGACUCGUAUCUUGGCAGGGCAAACCCAAAUCAGGCAACCCGUUCAUUUUGCAGCCAUGGUGUUGUCGGCUUCUCUUUACCCCCAUUUUGCACAAAUCUGAGCCUCAACUUCCAAUGAGUCACUUCGAGUACUCUGGGAUCGAAACCCAGAAUCUCAUUUGAUGGAAACCCUGAUCCCUGUUCAUUUUAGCUCGAAAACAUGAGGCAGUCAGAGAAAAAUGUGGAUUUUUUCAGGGUGUUAGACCAUCUCUGGUAUGUUAAUGAUUUUUUCUUUGCUCUAAUAAACAACCCUUUUAGCUUUGUUUGUGGACAAAGUGCAGAAAUUGCUGUUUCAGAACAGUUCCAAAUUCAUUGGGUGUAUUCCUGGAUUUGCACUGUAAUGGAAGCUCAGCCCAGUGUGAAGAAUGAGGCCAACAGUGAGAAAAAAGGAAUUUCUUUGGAGGGUGGUUUCCCCCUGUGAUUGGUCUAUGAUUUCUCCUUUAACCAAACAAACAACCCUCUGCAAAAGUAGAAACAACCAACAAUAUUUGUCGCCAUUGCCUUAAAUGGUGGCAAUAUGAUGUUGAUGUAAGUAAUACUAUUCAAUUUUCUGAUCAUUCUGAGCUAGCUUAGACCAAAUACUUUUGGUAUGAAAUGCUCACAGAUCUGAAGGUCUCCAUUUGUUUCAUUAAUAUUUCUUGCUAAAGUUAUCAAACUGGCUCUUAUGGAAAAGUUCCCAUUUUUUCUGAAAGAGGCAGUGAUGAUAUUUUGCCUAUCUGAGCUGCCGUUUGGGGCAUGGAGACUAUUGACCCGUAUCUUGGCAUGGCAAACCUGGAUGCUUGUGAUCGAGUCUUCUCUUUCACAUGCGACUGGUUCUUUUUCAGCCAUGGCGUUGUCACCUUCUGUUUGCCCCAUUUUUGCAGUUCUGAGCUCAGUUUCCAACUAGUCCAACUGGAUGUCCCAGGACUCGAAGAGUUCUGAACCUAAAUGAUGAAAUAUCUCUGCAUGCUCACAUAUAUCAUGAAAAAAUGUCCAAAAUAGUCCCUUAUUGAGGCAGUGAUGAUUCAGUCUAUCCUCUUGAGCUAUUAAUUGAGCAUUGAGGGUACCCGAUGGCAACUUGGCGUGGCAAUUACCUGGAUGCCUGUGAUUUUGUUGCAUGCAACUUGGGGAUAUUUGCAGCCAUGGCAUGGCAGGACUUUCUGUGCCUGAUGAAGAACUGAGCCUCAAUUGUCACAUUCAUCUUACUCUGGAUGUAUUUAGUAUGGAGGAAAAUAUUUUAGUCUAGCCGCCCUAAAGUGGCUAAAUGAUGUCAUUUCUACAACGAAGACCUUUGACAUGAGGCUGUGAUGAUAUUUUGUCCUCAUGAGAUGGUUGAGCCGUGCUAUAUCUUGGCGUGGCAGUUCUUUUGUGGUAUUGUGAGAUAGUGAAGCUAUUUUUGUUUGUGUCUCACGAAGCAUCCUUAAGCUUGCAGCCAUAGCGGGGUUUAGCUUAUGUAUGAGAAAAGGCGAAUCUGAGCCUCCCAAAUCUCUAUUUGUGUUGGAAGAAUGAGGCUUUUUAUGGGAACUUGAGGAAGGUUGAGAUUUUCUAGGAUUUUUUGCUCCCUUCUGAAGUUCAAUUUAGCCGGUGAUCUCCCUAUUCCUUUCUUACACAGUAAAUUACACCAAUGACCUUGAUAAUGGGUGGUCUUGACCCCGCUUCCCCAUGGAAAACCUUCAAGUCGAAGACUGAAUUCGAAAGUUCUGCCCAUGGAGUAAGUGGGUCAAAGACCACGCACAUCUACAGGCCAUUCUUGUAAUUCACCCUAGUUUACUGCAUUGAGAAAACCUGAACCGUAUCUUGGCAGGGCGACUAGGUAUGGCAUCAUUUGCAAACUGGUGUCUGCAGCCAUGGCGUUGUCCUUUUCUCUUUGCAUGUUCAUGCACAACAAAAUAUAAGUCCUAAAGUCUGUGGUUAAUAUCUCAAAAGGUCACUCAACUGAUGGGGAUUGGCAUGGCAGCUUUAAGGCUCCGUGAGAUAUGGGAACUAUCUUACUGGACUAUUAAUGCUUGCAGCCAUGCGCCCAUGUCCAUUGUUUAGCUUUUUGAAUGACAAAAGGCAAAUCUGAGCCUCCAAGUAUAUCUCUGUGUUCAGUAAAUGAGGCAUUUUAUUGAACUCGAGAAAGGUAGUGAUUUUCUGAGGGUGGUUAUUCUCUUUUCUCUUAAGUUCAAUUUAGCCAAUGAAGUUUCCUAUGCUUUUGUUAGACAGAUAUAGUUUAACAGCCCUCUCAUCAGCAAAAUGUUCUUGAUGAUGACGAUGAUUGCCAUGGUUAUGAUAAUAAUAAUAUUAAUAAUAAGCAAAAUUACGUUUCCCCCCUCAACUUUUCUAGAAAAACCCAAAUCCUCAACCCUAAACUUUGUGAUGAGGCUGUGAUGAUAUUCUCCAGGAAGUUUGAAAAUCAGAUUUUUAAGCUGAUUCAUAUCUUGGCUAGGCAAAGGCAGGGGAAUUCAUGAGGCUGGUUCUUACGUGCUCUGUCACACGUAUCUGCUUUUUGCAGCCAUGGUGAAGUAGCCCUUUUUUUCUGAUUGAUUUUCACUCAAAAUCUGAGCCUCUUUUCUGUUUAAAGUUUUGGUUCUACAAUAUGUAGUCUUUUUUUUUCAUCCUUCGUACUAUCAGCACAUAUAGGAAGAGUCCCCUUUGAGAAAUGAAACUUCCUAUGUAUCCCUCUAUACAAUUUCCAUAGAUUGUUAGGUACACUGAGAUGAAAUAAGUCCAAAGGGAAUGGAAGUGGAUAUUUAGGAUCCAUAUAAUGUCUUUAAACAGUUUGAUAUUGAAGCUGGUUUUUGCUGCAUUUAUCUACACUACUCAAACUUUCAUGCCUUUUUAGAUCCUGAAUGCACCAAGUUUUCCAAGGCAAUGAAGAUGUCAUAUUGAAAAUGAAAAUGUGAAUAAGAUGAGAGUUGAUUCAUGGCCUGGCUUGGCCAAGUCCAAUUGGAAGGUCUUGUAAGGCAAUUGUUGCUUGCAACUGCAGCAGUGUUAACUCUGCUCUUCCUCCAUUUUGGAUUAAAUAAGCGAAAAUCUGAGCCUCAUUCUUAACAUAGUUCAUUUUCUUUUUUAACCUGGUCUUUCUGGAAAGAGACUUAGAUUACCAUCAUUCUGGAACCACUGAAUCAACAGCUUCGGCUGCCACCGCCAUAACCCUAAAGAAAAAAUUCUUUUCUCGGUUGAGUAAAUGCAUUUGUUAUCUGGUGAAGGUGAAUCCGUACCUAAACAUGAGUAUGUCAGCUAACAGUCCGUUCUACAGUUCUUGUCGCGUCUGGCAUUCUUUUCAGGUGAACAAUGUUGCAUUUCAUCUUUGCUGGGUGGCGGACCGGUGUCAUUUCAAUUGUUGGUGGUACUGAUGGUAAAGAUUGCUGGCUUUGGUUGAAUGAAAAUUGGAUCCGCCCUCAUGAAAAGUACAAGGAAAAACCAGCUUAUAUUGAACCUGAGGAUGAAGUGUAGACGCCAGUCGGUGACAGAAGAGAAUGUAGCUUCAAGAAUGAGGCAAGCCCACCCACCCCUCGUGUUGUCGCUGAGCAUUGCCAGGGGCCACAACGCCUGUGUAUCACAUUGCCUCAGCUUCCCUACUUUGCAUGAGACCUCAAUGAUGCAAUUCUCUGGUUCUGGCUACUGAAGUUCUGAGAUAAUGCUUUGUUCUUUAAAAUGUUAGCAUUUGCUAUCAAAUGCACCAUGUUUGUAUUUUUCUUACCCAAGAAUGUUUAUUAAUAUGGACAAUAUUUCUGUUGACAAAUUUUGUGCUUUCUUUGACACCAAAGUUUUCAUUUUUAUCCUCUUGUAAUUGCAGCAUCAAAUUUGGAAUAUUGUACUAUUUGCAUUUGAUAGUAUGUUAUAUAUACUCUAUCGUUUCAAUUUA